rnacentral:rRNA from 1 species
AGAUACCGCCCCUAGUUCUAACCAUAAACGAUGCCAGCUAGCGAUCUGCCGACGUUUUUUUUGUAGACUCGGCAGGAAGCUUCCGGGAAACCAAAGCAUUUGGGUUCCAGGGGAAGUAUGGUUGCAAAGCUGAAACUUAAAGGAAUUGACGGAAGGGCACCACCAGGAGUGGAGCCUGUGGCUUAAUUUGACUCAACACGGGAAAUCUCACCAGGCCCGGACACUGGAAGGAUUGACAGAUUGAUAGCUCUUUCUUGAUUCGGUGGGUGGUGGUGCAUGGCCGUUCUUAGUUGGUGGAGUGAUUUGUCUGGUUAAUUCCGAUAACGAACGAGACUCUGUCCUGCUAAAUAGUGUCCGCCUCUCUUUUGGGCGGACAAUUCUUCUUAGAGGGACUGGCGACUCUCAGUCGCACGAGAUUGAGCAAUAACAGGUCUGUGAUGCCCUUAGAUGUUCUGGGCCGCACACGCGCUACACUGAAUAGAUCAACGUGUUCCCCCUAUCCGAGAGGAUCGGGUAAACCGCUGAACCCUAUUCGUGGUAGGGAUCGGGGCUUGCAAUUGUUCCCCGUAAACCAGGAAUUCCCAGUAGGCGCAAGUCAUAAGCUUGUGUCGAUUACGUCCCUGCCCUUUGUACACACCGCCCGUCGCUACUACCGAUUGAACGUUUUAGUGAGGUCCUCGGACUGACAGGUUGGCGGAUUACUCUGCCUGCCUGGCGGGAAGACGACCA